UAAAUCUAGGACAUAAUUUUAUACUUAAUACAUUAAUAUGAUCAAUAAAAAGAUAAGUUUAUUUUUUAUUCAAGUGUGAUGUAUCUUUGAAUCAUCUAUGGAAUUAGCUUUCGAUACAUAUUCUCAAGAGUUAAGAAUUAGAGACAUGUAUUUAAUUCCUAAAUACUCCUGAUCAUAGAAUUAUCAUGAGGAUGAUGAUCAAUCCGGAUAGAUCGACGCAC
rnacentral:lncRNA from 1 species